CUUAUACUCCCUUCGUCCGAAAAUACUUGUCAUCGAAAUGGAUGUAUCUAGACGUAUUUUAGUUCUAGAUACAUUCAUUUUUAUCCAUUUAUGCGACAAGUAUUUUUGGAUGGAGGGAGUAUUUA
rnacentral:pre_miRNA from 1 species